AGAAUUUGAAUGCAGUUGUUGGGGGAGUUGAGGAGAAAUCAGUGGAAUAAUUCAAGGAGGGAUAAGGGGAGAGAUUUUAGGAGAAAAUCAAGGGAAGUGAGGGGAGAGGAGAAGUGUGCCGAAAGUGGACUUUAAUACUUAGGAAAUUCGACCAGAGGGGAUACUGCUCAUUUUGGUAUACUUUACAUUUCGGUUUUGUGUAAUGUUUCUCUCUUUUUGCUUUUUGGUGCCGAAUUUUUGCUAAGAUUUCGAGUACCUCUUAGGUUUUUCUUUUACUGCUCUUUCUUUUUAUCCUUUUUUUUGUUUUGGUCAAAUAGCUUUUUAGUUCCCUCCUCUGCCAAAUUCUCUUCUCUUUUCCCUCUUCUCUUUGUUGCUUCUUUCGUCUGAAUUGAUCUUCUUCCUCUACUCCUUUUGAUCAACUGUUUGUCGAAUAUUGCCUUCUCUCCCUUUUUAUCUUUUCAAAUUUUUUUCGGCUUGACAACAAUUCUC
rnacentral:lncRNA from 1 species